UGCAGUGCAUUCAGCCCAGCAGUCAAGAGAGCCAGGUUUGAAGUAAAAAUAAACACAAAAUGCAUCCAUUUCUCCACAGGAUGUUCCUAAAGAAUAUUAGACCAAUGGAAUCAUUCAUGAUCAGGCAGCAAGUUAAUCCAUGAUGUAAGGAAAAUGGUAUGCUCCAUAUUAGCUAUAAACCAAAUUACCAUGCAAUAUUCCUGGCAAACAAUAAUAUAUAACAGUAGAAGUGCAAACAUUUAAUUAUGCCUACAAUGCAUGUUUCCAUGCAUUGAUCUGAAUUUAAUUCAAUU